AUGAACGCUAGCGGGAGGCCUAACACAUGCAAGCCGAGCGGUAGAGAUCUUUCGGGAUCUUGAGAGCGGCGUACGGGUGCGGAACACGUGUGCAACCUGCCUUUAUCAGGGGGAUAGCCUUUCGAAAGGAAGAUUCAUACCCCAUAAUAUAAGAAACGGCAUCGUUUUUUAUUGAAAACUCCGGUGGAUAGAGAUGGGCACGCGCAAGAUUAGAUAGUUGGUGAGGUAACGGCUCACCAAGUCUACGAUCGUUAGGGGGCCUGAGAGGGUGAUCCCCCACAAUGGUACUGAGACACGGAGCAGAGUCCUACGGGAGGCAGCAGUGAGGAAUAUUGGACAAUGGGUGGGAGCCUGAUCCAGCCAUCCCGCGUGAAGGACGACGGCCAUAUGGGUUGUAAACUUCUUUUGUAUAGGGAUAGACCUACCCUCGUGAGGGUAGCUGAAGGUACUAUACGAAUAAGCACCGGCUAACUCCGUGCCAGCAGCCGCCGCAGUAA
rnacentral:rRNA from 1 species